AAAACGACUCUCGACAACGGAUAUCUCGGCUCUCGCAUCGAUGAAGAACGUAGCGAAAUGCGAUACUUGGUGUGAAUUGCAGAAUCCCGUGAACCAUCGAGUCUUUGAACGCAAGUUGCGCCCGAAGCCUUUAGGCCGAGGGCACGCCUGCCUGGGCGUCACA
rnacentral:rRNA from 2 species